rnacentral:rRNA from 1 species
UACGAAGGGGGCUAGCGUUGCUCGGAAUCACUGGGCGUAAAGGGCGCGUAGGCGGCCAUUCAAGUCGGAGGUGAAAGCCCAGGGCUCAACCCUGGAAUUGCCUUCGAUACUGUCUGGCUAGAGACCGGAAGAGGUAAGUGGAACUGCGAGUGUAGAGGUGAAAUUCGUAGAUAUUCGCAAGAACACCAGUGGCGAAGGCGGCUCACUGGCCCGAUACUGACGCUGAGGCACGAAAGCGUGGGGAGCAAACAGG